AUAUUGUAUAAUUAAGCCAAUCAUUGAAAUGAUUAUAAUUAGGUCCAAUUCUAUUUUCUUUAUAAUCAUAUAGCUCAUUCCCUCUUCAAGCAGACUACAAAAGCGUUGUCUCAAACAAAAGGAAACACGCUAAAAAAUGGAACUAAAUGAUAGCGGAAUUUAAUCAACAAUAAAUCAUCAGUACGAUUAAACACGGAAUAUCGCAACAAACUUCACACUAAACCAAGCCAACAAGGACUAUACUAUUCGUAUAAAUCUGAACUUUGGGCUCCAUAACAAGAAAAAUGAUAAGCGAACAAACAUACCCAGAAAUGGAAUUCCGCAAAUCAACAGUACAACAACAACACUUGGGUCUUUAUGUUUUUUUUUGUGUGAGUGAGGGUGAGAGAUGAGCUUAAGGGUACUAAGAUUUUAUGUGUUCCUGAUCGGAUCGGAGCAGCGGCGAUAGAGACAACGACAAAGAGAUGGACAACAACCCAAAUAUCCAUAGGUCGCUGAAGCUUAGGAAAUUGGGGUCUAAUCUUAAUGAGGUGAGGAAUUUUUUCAAAGGGUCUUGGUCGUGAAAAUGAAGAAGCAGCAGUAUUUUCUUUUCUUAUUGUCUUCAAGAAAAAUGGGGUCUUCUUUUUGUUCAAAGAAAAGAGAUAUGGAGCACCAUUUCUUAGAUUUCUCAUGGGUCUAAUGAUC
rnacentral:lncRNA from 1 species